UACGACUACAUAUCAGGCAUAUCAAUAAGCGGAGGAAAAGAAACUAACUAGGAUUCCCUUAGUAACGGCGAGUGAAGCGGGAAGAGCUCAAAUUUGAAACCUUCAAGGUUCUACCUUGACGAAUUGUAGUUUAAAGAAGUGUUUUCUGUUGGAGUUUUGGUAAAAGUUCUUUGGAAUAGGACAUCAUAGAGGGUGAGGAUCCCGUAUUUGACCAUUUCUUCCAGCUGUGUGAUACACUUUCAAAGAGUCGGAUUGUUUGGGAAUGCAGUCCAAAAUGGGUGGUAAAUUUCAUCUAAAGCUAAAUAUUGGCGAGAGACCGAUAGCGAACAAGUACCGUGAGGGAAAGAUGAAAAGAACUUUGAAAAGAGAGUUAAAUAGUACGUGAAAUUGUCAAAAGGGAAGCGUUUGACACCAGUGUUGUUUUCUCGAAAAUCAAUUAAAAAUGACCGGAUUUUGUGUUGUAUUGACUUUAUCAGCUUUCUGCACUUUUUUCUUGUCUUUUUUAAUGCACUUUUCGUUUAACAAGUCAACAUCAAUUUCUUUUGUUGUAAAAGAGUCAUUGGAAGGUGGCUUUCACUUUCGGUGAAAGUGUUUAUAGCCUUUGACUUCUGCAAUCGGAGAGAUUGAGGUCUGCAGCGUUAGAUCCUUCGGGGUUAGAUACAUUUGUGCUAAGUUAUAGUUUUUCAUAGACAACAUGUUGACUAUGAUUAAUCAUGUAGCUUACUCGCUUAUGCUAUUUUACCUACGCUUAGGAUGUUGAAUCUGUGCGAGACUAC
rnacentral:rRNA from 1 species